AGCUGGCAAGUGGGUGUGCUUAUUAUGGGGCACAGUGAGGCCCUUCCCCAGAGGACCCCUCAAGAGCAUCAGCUCAAGAGACUGGGAAUUCAAGCAUCCAGGAAACAGCCAAUUCAUUCGGCCUGACUGUCUGCCUCAUCUGCAUUGGUGUCUACCUCUGCAGGGCAUCACACGGACAUUGUGGAAGGGAGCAGAGGGCCCCUUUUUCUACCCUGCCCCGCCCAGCUUUCAGCCUGCAGCGCAACUGCCCUAUCUCCCAGUUUCUCCAAUCUUGUAUCCUGAUGCCCAUCACUUAGCCCAGUAAACAAAACCCUCCACAACUUACCUGUAUCCACACAUCAGGAAGUUUGCAAACAAAAAAUACCUGAUUAUGUCACAAAUGGUAUUUUUCCAUGCCACACAAGCCACAGGAACCAUUUGGGUAGAAAUUUUUUCAUGGUCCUUCCACCACGUUGAAUUUCUCUGCUUUAAUUCCUAGACCUAGACAUUUGUUUCCCAUCGAACACAUAUACACCCUACAUUUGUGUGAUUCUUUCCCUUCUCAUGCUACUAUUUAGAUUAUUUCUUGUUUCUGACUACCUGCCCAAAUUAUAAUCACCACUUUGAGUUUUAAUCCAUAUUCCAGGGCCCUAAUUUUCCUCAAGGCUGGUGUAUUAAAAAUUCUUUUGUCAGGCAAGAAAAAGAACCUAAAAUACACAUUUGGUUUCUCUUGUGCAGGAAUAUUUUCUCUGCUUACAAGAUAGUUUGACUCUUCCACUAACUACUAAAGGAAACAAUUGUACAGUCCACAAGGUAACUAGAAGCCCAGAAGACCUCCAGGAAGUUACCACAUAGUUGAUCACUUCCUCGUUGUGCUAACUCCACACCUCAUACUUCUUCUGCUUCACAGAUUUGCAAGAACAAGAAGUUGCCAGGAUAGUACACAGAGCUUCGCCUUACUACACCCUGCUUUCCCCAAUGAUGACAUCUUAUAUAACCACAGCACCUGAAAAUGGAGAAGUUGACAUUUGUACAAUGGUAUUAAGUAAAUUAGAGAAUUUAAUUUGGAUUUCA